CGCAAGUGUACCCCGAUUGGUAAGGGGCAUACCCGCCUACACGGCGGGAUGGAAUGCCGGUUCGAUUCCGGCCCUUGCGG
rnacentral:tRNA from 1 species